rnacentral:lncRNA from 1 species
GGGCUGGGGACGUGGCAUGUACGGAGGCGAAGGCGCAUGUGUGAGGGCAGAGGCUUGGCACGCGCGGAGGAGUUUGGGCUGCUGCGGCAUUGGAGUUUGCUCGCUACUAGGGUUUCUACAAUUAGGUUGGGAUUUGCACUGAGUGAUUUGGGCCAGGGUCUUUAAUUGGGUUUAAUUCAGUGGGUUCAUUGGGUAUUUGGAUUUUGUAAUCGGGUUUGGGCUUAGUUUUUUGUAAUUUUGG